UUAUCCGGAUUUAUUGGGUUUAAAGGGAGCGUAGAUGGAUGUUUAAGUCAGUUGUGAAAGUUUGCGGCUCAACCGUAAAAUUGCAGUUGAUACUGGAUGUCUUGAGUGCAGUUGAGGCAGGCGGAAUUCGUGGUGUAGCGGUGAAAUGCUUAGAUAUCACGAAGAACUCCGAUUGCGAAGGCAGCCUGCUAAGCUGCAACUGACAUUGAGGCUCGAAAGUGUGGGUAUCAAACAGGAUUAGAUACCCUGGUAGUCCACACGGUAAACGAUGAAUACUCGCUGUUUGCGAUAUACGGCAAGCGGCCAAGCGAAAGCGUUAAGUAUUCCACCUGGGGAGUACGCCGGCAACGGUGAAACUCAAAGGAAUUGACGGGGGCCCGCACAAGCGGAGGAACAUGUGGUUUAA
rnacentral:rRNA from 1 species